rnacentral:rRNA from 1 species
ACUCCUACGGGAGGCAGCAGUGGGGAAUAUUGCACAAUGGGGGAAACCCUGAUGCAGCCAUGCCGCGUGUGUGAAGAAGGCCUUCGGGUUGUAAAGCACUUUCAGUUGUGAGGAAAGGUAAGUAUUUAAUAAAUGCUUACUGUGACGUUAGCAACAGAAGAAGCACCGGCUAACUUCGUGCCAGCAGCCGCGGUAAUACGAGGGGUGCAAGCGUUAAUCGGAAUUACUGGGCGUAAAGCGUUCGUAGGCGGUUUGUUAAGCAAGAUGUGAAAGCCCUGGGCUCAACCUGGGAACUGCAUUUUGAACUGGCAAACUAGAAUACUGUAGAGGGUGGUGGAAUUUCCAGUGUAGCGGUGAAAUGCGUAGAGAUUGGAAGGAACAUCAGUGGCGAAGGCGGCCACCUGGACAGAUAUUGACGCUGAGGAACGAAAGCGUGGGGAGCGAACAGGAUUAGAUACCCUGGUAGUCCACGCCGUAAACGAUGUCAACUAGCCGUUUGUGGACUUGAUCCGUGAGUGGCGCAGCUAACGCACUAAGUUGACCGCCUGGGGAGUACGGCCGCAAGGUUAAAACUCAAAUGAAUUCACGGGGGCCCGCACAAGCGGCGGAGCAUGUGGUUUAAUUCGAUGCAACGCGAAGAACCUUACCAUCCCUUGACAUCCACAGAAGAGACCAGAGAUGGACUUGUGCCUUCGGGAACUGUGUGACAGGUGCUGCAUGGCUGUCGUCAGCUCGUGUUGUGAAAUGUUGGGUUAAGUCCCGCAACGAGCGCAACCCCUAUCCUUAUUUGCCAGCGCGUAAUGGCGGGAACUCUAAGGAGACUGCCGGUGAUAAACCGGAGGAAGGUGGGGACGACGUCAGUCAUCAUGGCCCUUACGGGAUGGGCUAC